GUGCUUGUUUUGGCAGCACAUAUACUAAAAUUGGAAUGAUACAGAGAAGAUUAGCAUGACCCCUGUUGCAAGGAUGACACGCAAAUCUGCAAAGCGUUGCAUAUUAAA